rnacentral:rRNA from 1 species
GGAGGAAUAUUGGGCAAUGGGGGAAACCCUGACCCAGCAACGCCGCGUGAAGGAAGAAGGCCUUCGGGUUGUAAACUUCUGUGACAGGGGAAGAAAGAAAUGACGGUACCCUGAGAGGAAGCCACGGCAAACUACGUGCCAGCAGCCGCGGUAAUACGUAGGUGGCGAGCGUUGUCCGGAAUCACUGGGCGUAAAGGGCGCGUAGGCGGUUUAUCAAGUCGCAUGUGAAAUACCAGGGCUCAACUCUGGGGGGUCAUGCGAAACUGAUGGACUUGAGUGCAGUAGAGGAAAGCGGAAUUCCUGGUGUAGCGGUAAAAUGCGUAGAGAUCAGGAGGAACACCGGUGGCGAAGGCGGCUUUCUGGGCUGUAACUGACGCUGAGGCGCGAAAGCGUGGGGAGC